UGAGGAAUCUUGCGCAAUGGGGGAAACCCUGACGCAGCAACGCCGCGUGAGUGAGGAAGGUCUUCGGGUCGUAAAGCUCUGUCAGGCGGGAAGAAAUGCAUGGAGGUGAACAGCCGCCAUGCUUGACGGUACCGCCAGAGGAAGCACCGGCUAACUCCGUGCCAGCAGCCGCGGUAAUACGGGGGGUGCAAGCGUUGUUCGGAAUCAUUGGGCGUAAAGAGCGUGUAGGCGGCUUGGUAAGUCAGAUGUGAAAGCCCUGGGCUCAACCCGGGAAGUGCAUUUGAAACUGCCAGGCUCGAGUAGGGGAGAGGGAAGUGGAAUUCCUGGUGUAGAGGUGAAAUUCGUAGAUAUCAGGAGGAACACCGGUGGCGAAGGCGACUUCCUGGCCCUAUACUGACGCUGAGACGCGAGAGCGUGGG
rnacentral:rRNA from 1 species